CACACACAAAAUAUGCUAAGUGGCACAAAGACUUGCUUCACUCACCAGCCCAAAAAGACCAAUGGUGAUCUAUUGAGUGGUUGGUCAAAUUUGAACAUGCACUAACCAUUUGGCUGGUGGAUAAAAAAGUUAAUUUUAAACCCUGAUUUUUAAGUAUUAACUGCUAAGUACUAGAGAUGUUUCGAUACCGGUUUUCCUUCCCGAUUCUGAUACCUGAUACCUUUCAUAUUGGCCGAUAUAUAUUUUGUUUUUUUAAAAGCUGUAUAAACCGUCUCUGGGUAAACUCUCCGCUAGCGGACCAAAACAAGAAAUCAAUUCUUCUACGUCUGCAACCAGCGAUUGUUUUCAUUAUUGAUUAACCUGCCGAUUAUUUUCUAGAUUCGUUGUUUUGGUCUAUUAAAUGGCAGAAAAAAGGUGAAAAAUGUCCAUCCUAGUUUCUCAAAGUCCAAGGCGAUGUCUUUAACCCUUGUAUUGUCCUCCCAGGUGAAAACUUUAUUCAACAUUUUCUAAUCUUUCACCCCUUAAACCAACUUAUUAACUCAACUUAUUAAGUUUUACAAUUAUUUAUUAAAAAUUCAUACUCAAUAAACCUCAUUUAUAUGAUUUUAUACCUCCAUUUUUUUAGUUAAAAAGCAGAAAUUAUGAAAUACUUUGAUAUAUUCUGAUUUAAGUUAAAAUCCGAGGAAGACUUUAGUCAGAGUUUAGUCAGGAAAUGGUUUUUAAAACAUUUAAACCGUUUUUUUCUUUUUUUCUUUUUCCAAAUGCUGUAAAAUAUAAUAUAACAUCCGGAAUUGAUAAAUCCGGAAAUGAUAUUGUGAAGAACGUUGUAUUGAACCAACCCUGUUGUUGUUUUUGGGGGCAAUUCGGUUAAAAGAAAACCAUAUUUCUUUGAGUAGAAACUUUGAAAAAAAAAACAGGAGGGUAAAUGUCUUGCUUUUUUUUUUUUUUUUCAGUCCCAAACCCAGAUAUUCAGUUUGCUAUGAUAUGAAAUUAAAGAAAGAGCAGGGAAUCUCCAUAUUUGAGGGACUUAUAACUGCAUUUUCAAAAAAAAAAAAGUUUUUUUGCAUGAAAAAUCGCUUUAACAAUUAAAUCGAUAAUCAAAAUAGUUGGUGAUUUCGAUCAACUAAUCGCUUCAGCUCUGAAUUCUUCUCGCCGCUCUAAAAGACAGUGGUUGUGGCAGCAACAGAAGAAUUGAUUUCUGGUUUGGUCUGCUUGCGGCACGGCUAGGGGCCAGUGUCGUUUUUGUUCCGGUAAUGCUACUUUGAAGUUAGUGUCUUUCGGGGCUAAAUUACGUGGUAUCGGAUCGGUGCGCAGACUCGUCCAUACCGGCAUUUUAGGCAGUAUGGGAGGCUUUCCCGAGAUUGUUAUCGGUAUCGAAACAACUCAAAGUCCGUCUGUGUCUUUUGGGGUUGCAGCGAAGCGUCACGAGGAAACUCUGGGCAGGUUUGUGCUGCGAGAGCAGAGAGAGAGUUGGUUUGCCUUAUCUCCAUGACGGCGUGCCGCCAUGUUACUGUGAUCCUACAGUCUGAGUGAGCGAGGGUGACGGAGAGAUAAACAGACAGAAUGAAUGAGUGAAAAACAGUUUUCUCUGGCUUAAGUUUUUACUGCGACAACAACAACAGGCCGGCGAGAAAAGGCGGUCCGAUUAAGGAGACGUGAUGCGACUGCGGUGCGGAAGUUCUACCAACUAUCAGGCUUUUAGUUCGUCGUAUGUUUUAAUAAAUGGUUUACUGCCAAUCAUUAUUUGCAGGACUGGGUAUCGCCACUGCAAUGUUCCCCAUACUUUGAUUUAUCUGUGGCGGCCCGCCACAAUAUCACCGUUGACUGCCACAAAUUGAUUUUCUAUUUUAUUAAUAUUUUAAAUGGUAAAACCAUAUGUCAUUGUAGAGCUGUGCACAGCAUAUUCAUUUACUCAGCUGCUCCUUUUCGUGCACGGCGGCUCGACCGCAUUAAGCCUCUGGCUCCUACCAUUUACCGUGUAUCUACAGUUAGUAAGUCUUUCUCUCUGCCGCUGUUUUUCCACAUAUAGCCUAGCGUUAGCUAACGUUAGCACUUGUUCCGGAGGAGCUCUGACCAGCGUAAGUCGAGGGCGACGUCACCUGGUUUGCUGCGGCAGCUUUAGCUUUUGGUUGGUAAUGUCUGAGGGGGAAACAAACACGGGAGAGAUUUUAACGUUGAGAUCCAAAAGGUAAAAACAAAAGUUCAUCAGCUCUGAUCAUGUUUUUGUUGAUUUGCCGGUGACAUGUAGGACUUUCCAUUAUUGUCUUUUGGAGCAUAAAGACUUAAAGGCUUUUAGGAAUCAGUUUCUAUGACUUCACAUGGAUUAUUUAUUUAUUUGUCGGCACAUUGUGCUGCUGCUGCAAGUGUCUUCAUGUCUUCAGUCUCUGUCGGGAUUAUGAUUAUUUUUAUUUUUUUUUGUUUUAUUUCUAUCUUAACUCUUUGUGCCUCAUACAUCUCCAGAGCCGACCGUCUGAUUCUCAAAAAUACAACUAGAGAUCUUUGUGAAAACCCAGAAAAGAUUUAGAAGUGUUUUUAAUCCACCGCGCACAUAAAAAAGGUUUCUAGCCCACGUGCUCUGAUCC